CCCUUAGAUGUUCUGGGCCGCACGCGUGCUACACUGAGUGGAUCAGCGGGUCAGGUUGCGCGAAAGCGUUUCCUAAUCUUUAAAUCCGCUCGUGAUGGGGAUUGACGGUUGCAAUUUUCUGUCAUGAACGAGGAAUACCUUGUAAGCGCGGGUCAUCAUCCCGCGCUGAAUACGUCCCUGCCCUUUGUACACACCGCCCGUCGCUCCUACCGAUUGAGUGGUCCGGUGAGGCUUUGGGAUCUGAGCGGAAAGAGUGUUUCGCUGUUUCUGCUCGGAAAACCCAGUCGAACCUUAUCAUUUAGAGGAAGGAGAAGUCGUAACA
rnacentral:rRNA from 1 species